GAUAUUGCGCCGGAUGAACGGAUAACUCUGAUGACGUUAAUUAUGGAAAUUUUUCCCAAUAUCU
rnacentral:tRNA from 1 species